rnacentral:rRNA from 1 species
UACGUAGGGUGCGAGCGUUAAUCGAAAUUACUGGGCGUAAAGCGUGCGCAGGCGGUUUGUUAAGUCUGAUGUGAAAGCCCCGGGCUCGACCUGGGAACUGCAUUGGAAACUGGCAAGCUCGAGUAUGGCAGAGGGGGGUGGAAUUCCGCGUGUAGCAGUGAAAUGCGUAGAUAUGUGGAGGAACACCGAUGGCGAAGGCAGCCCCCUGGGUCAAGAUUGACGCUCAUGCACGAAAGCGUGGGGAGCAAACAGG